rnacentral:rRNA from 1 species
CCUACGGGUGGCAGCAGUGAGGAAUAUUGGUCAAUGGACGAGAGUCUGAACCAGCCAAGUAGCGUGAAGGAUGACUGCCCUAUGGGUUGUAAACUUCUUUUAUAAAGGAAUAAAACGAGGCACGUGUGCCUUUUUGCAUGUACUUUAUGAAUAAGGAUCGGCUAACUCCGUGCCAGCAGCCGCGGUAAUACGGAGGAUCCGAGCGUUAUCCGGAUUUAUUGGGUUUAAAGGGAGCGUAGAUGGGUUGUUAAGUCAGUUGUGAAAGUUUGCGGCUCAACCGUAAAAUUGCAAUUGAUACUGGCAGUCGUGAGUACAGUUGAGGUAGGCGGAAUGCGUGGUGUAGCGGUGAAAUGCUUAGAUAUCACGAAGAACUCCGAUUGCGAAGGCAGCUUACUAAACUGUCACUGACAUUGAUGCUCGAAAGUGUGGGUAUCAAACAGGAUUAGAUACCCGUGUAGUC